UAGAUGCCAACAGUCUUUAGAACGUUGUUUCAUGCUUCUACUGUGAAUAUGGAGCGAACAAGAGGGCCUGGAGUCAGAUGAGUGAGGAAAUGACAUGAGCUCAGAGGCAUGCUCUCACGAAGUGAGGUGUACCAUCUCAGGCGAUAUACAAUAGACGUUGCUGCCUUUGGGGAAAGUACUAUGGAAUAAUGCCGUGGAAUUCAUUCUCCUGCCUCCAGGACCUGAGCCCUAGGACCAUGCCUCAGGACUACCUGGCUUGAUGACUCCUUGCUGUCCCCAGCUCACCUGGCCGUGCUGCUGCUCCAGUUCUAACUGUUCUGCCUGCAGCUAUGGAACCCUGACCUGUUCACCGGACGUGCUACCUGUCCCAGACCUGUUGUCCCAGACCUGCUGGAACCCUGACCUAUUCACCGGACAUGCUACCUGUCCCAGACCUGCUGUUUUCAACUCUCUAGAGACAGCAGGAGCGGUAGAGAUACUCUCAAAGGUCGGCUAUGAAAAAGCCAACUGACACUUACUCUUGUGUUGCUGACUUGUUGCACCCUCGACAACUACUAUGAUUAUUAUUAUUUGACAAUGCUGGUCAUUUAUGAACAUUUGAACAUCUAGGCCAUGUGCUGUUAUAAUCUCCACCCGGCACAGCCAGAAGAGGACUGGCCACCCCUCAUAGCCUGGUUCCUCUCUAGGUUUCUUCCUAGGUUUUGGCCUUUCUAGGGAGUUUUUCCUAGCCACCGUGCUUCUACACCUGCAUUGCUUGCUGUUUGGGGUUUUAGGCUGGGUUUCUGUACAGCACUUUGAGAUAUCAGCUGAUGUAAGAAGGGCUAUAUAAAU
rnacentral:lncRNA from 1 species